CAAAUCACAUCUCAGCAUGCUGUGUGCUGCUCAGUCAGGAUGAUCAGUCAGGGAGGGCUUCUGAAAGUUGAUGACCCUUAAGUUACUGUGUCAUGGAAAACAGAAAUGGGAGUGUAGGAAGAAUUUGGUGAGGGAGGACUUUCCUGCCAGGAGCAACAGCUGAUACAGUGUCUUAGAGACAUAGGCAAAGAAGGUUUGUUCAAGGGAACUCCAAAUGAUUCAUAUGGCUAGAAAAAGAUAGGAUGGAGAAAUAAAUGGGGAGCAGUGAAAGGAUGGAAGCAAAGAUUACACAAAGAUCUGAAGACUGAGUAGGAGUCCCUUAGAGGAAAAGGGUGCAGAAAAUGUACCCUGGGAAGAGAAAACAACAUAUGCCCAACCCCGGAGGCGAGGGGGACACAGCUGGGAUAAAUGUCUCCUUCCUUUGUGAAAUACCACCCUCUUCUUGGCAAAGACAUCUUGGAUUUCUUCAUAACAAGCAUCACACUCUAAAUUAUAAUUAUCUGCUACCUAUGUGUCCCUUACCCUAAAGCUGCAACCUUCCCAAUUGUGGAGACAGAGCCUUACUCAUUCAUCUUUGUAGCUAGGCCUGUGUCCUGGCUCAUACAAGAUUUUUAAUGUAAGAGAAUUGACCUGAAUGAAAGAGAACAGAUCCAUAUCAGGGAUUCACUCAAAUAAGUCAUUUCUAGGAUAUAAUUCAGGGUCAAAGACUGCUGAUCAAGCGGCUGAAGGACACACACCAGUCAUUCCCGUGGGACCUUUCAUGGCAUGGUAUAUAAGGUCUACCAUGUGCAAAGGAUCAGAGGUGAAUUUCCAAAGCUAUGACCUGGAAGGAGGCCCAACAUACCUGAAAAGACUACUCCAAACAGGAACAGUAAUCAAGGGCAAGAUGGCAAGCGACAAAAGAAAUAAAACUGGGAGUAUGUAGUUGAAAGACUUAAAGUCUGGAAACACAAGGAGAGCUAAUACAGAAGAAUGUUGUGAGCAGGUUAGAGGGAAUAGCCCAGCAUGACCCACCUCUGGCACCUUUGCAAUACCCUCUCAGGGUAUGUUUAUGGAGUUGCACUGAAUUGAUUUAAAAGGUCUGGAAUGACACAUUCAGCACAUCCUCCAAUAUUAUAACAAUCUGCUUGGCUCACUGCCUCUGAAGAGCCUCACAUUGGUGUCUAAAGUCAUUUACACGUUCAGAUUUGAGCCUACUCAAAACUGAGCAGGUCAGCUCCACAGCCUUAGGCAAGGUUCUGGGUGAAAUCCUCAGCCUUACAGUAAGUAUCUCUUUACCCAAGUAGCUUCCUAAUAUUACUAGGAAUUUUUACUCUUUUUUAAAAUUGAGAUAUAAUUAACAUACAAGUUUCAGGUGUCAUAUUGGUUUUAGAUGUCCAACAAUAUUAUUUGGUGUAUCUAUAUUUUGCUAAAUGAUCACCACAAUGUUUAAGUCCAUCACCAUACAUCAUACACACAAAUACCAUACAUACAUCACCAUACAUACAUCAUUGCAAUUUUUUUCUUGUGAUGAGACCUUUUAAAAUUUACUCUCAGCAACUUUUAAAUAUAUAAUACAGUACUCUUUUUUUAAAAGUUUAUUUGUUUA